rnacentral:rRNA from 1 species
CGCGUAGGUGGUUGCGUAAGUAACGUGUGAAAUCCCUCGGCUUACCCGGGGAAUUGCAUGUUAUACUGCGUGGCUUGAGGAUCACAGGGGAAAGCGGAACUCCAGGUGUAGCGGUGAAAUGCGCAGAUAUCUGGGGGAAGGCCGGCGGCGAAGGCGGCUUUCUGGGUGAUUCCUGACACUGAGGCGCGAAAGCGUGGGGAGCAAACAGGAUUAGAUACCCUGGUAGUCCACGCCCUAAACGAUGGAUACUACUCAGAAGGACCUGCAAGGGUCUUUUUGACGGAGCAAAAGCGUUAAGUAUCCCGCCUGGGGAGUAUGGUCGCAAGGCUGAA